rnacentral:rRNA from 1 species
AGAGUUUGAUCCUGGCUCAGGACGAACGAUGGCGGCGUGCUUAACACAUGCAAGUCGAGCGGAAAGGCCCCUUCGGGGGUACUCGAGCGGCGAACGGGUGAGUAACACGUGAGCAACCUGCCCCUGACUCUGGGAUAAGCCUGGGAAACUGGGUCUAAUACCGGAUACGACCUCUGGCCGCAUGGUCUGGUGGUGGAAAGUUUUUUCGGUUGGGGAUGGGCUCGCGGCCUAUCAGCUUGUUGGUGGGGUAGUGGCCUACCAAGGCGACGACGGGUAGCCGGCCUGAGAGGGCGACCGGCCACACUGGGACUGAGACACGGCCCAGGCUCCUACGGGAGGCAGCAGUGGGGAAUAUUGCGCAAUGGGCGGAAGCCUGACGCAGCGACGCCGCGUGGGGGAUGACGGCCUUCGGGUUGUAAACCUCUUUCAGCAGGGACGAAGUUGACGUGUACCUGCAGAAGAAGCGCCGGCUAACUACGUG